rnacentral:pre_miRNA from 1 species
AGUAUUAUUGGUGUUUCAUAUGGAAAGGACAGAUUUAGUAAGAAACUACCAAACUGGUUUCCAAAGUUGCUGUGUCAUUUUGCAUUCCCACCAGCAAU